UACGUAGGGCGCAAGCGUUAUCCGGAAUUAUUGGGCGUAAAGAGCUCGUAGGCGGUUUGUCGCGUCUGCCGUGAAAGUCCGGAGCUCAACUCCGGAUCUGCGGUGGGUACGGGCAGACUAGAGUGAUGUAGGGGGAGACUGGAAUUCCUGGUGUAGCGGUGAAAUGCGCAGAUAUCAGGAGGAACACCGAUGGCGAAGGCAGGUCUCUGGGCAUUAACUGACGCUGAGGAGCGAAAGCAUGGGGAGCGAACAGG
rnacentral:rRNA from 1 species